GGCGCCGGAGAAGCAGCUGUGGUAGCACGAGAACUGGCAGAACCAGUACUCCUCGCGGGGCACGCACUGGUCAAAGCACGCGUGGAAGCAGGGCGGCCUGAUGAUGAUGCCCGCCGCCGCCUCGUCACCGCCGGCGGCCGCGGUCACCACCACGGCUGCCGCCUCGGCCGCCAGCAGCAGCAACGCCAGUGGCAGUACCUUCGCCGAGGCGCCUCCAGCGAUGGUCGCCAUUGCCACGAGGAAUGGGGAGGAGGUAGGCCGGCGCGCAUGGAUGUGACGCAGCUGCGCGCCAUGGGAGUUAUGGAAGCUGAGGCGUGCGGGCGUGUAGGUCAUGGUUUCGGUGUGACGCUGACCGCCUCACGCUUCUCUCUAGUCCGGUUCGGUGUCAGGAUCAUUGGGUAAGUGGGCCAAACGGCCCAAACAAGGGCCUGGUAAGCACAUUAAAACUAGGGCAAUGGAGCGAGGUGGUGGGGAGCAUUUAUUUAUUUUUUUUGCCACGACUACGUCUUACAUAUUUAACAUUUAAUGUGUCUGACAUAUUGAUUAAAUACUAAAUCUAAAGGUGAUAAAAUUAUUAAAUAUCCUCAAUACGGGUAGCCAAGGCUAUACGUAAAGCUCAUACACGACCCGAUAAAACGCAAAGAAACUAAGACAUUGUCAUUUGAGAACCGAGGUAUAAGAUCAUAUGCUUAUAUACACACAUGUACAUUUAUCCUUAUAAAUGAAUACAUAUACAAAUAUAUUAUAUCUAUAUGAGCACUUUGAAAACUAGAAUAUCUUAACUAAAUGAAGGAUAUGGUUGAAAGUGGCGAAGAUUUAGAUUUUUAGACCAUGUGAUUUUUGUUAUUGCUAUUUAAGAAUAUAAAUUUGCUUUCGAAAUAUUAUGCGAUAGACUUUUAUAAUAAAUAUUUUACAUAAAAUUGCUUAGGAGCAUAAAAAGCAUACCGACAAAAUAAGAUAAUCCAUCAUAUAUCUUAAACACAUGGAUGUCUCCUUGUGGACAUCCUAUAAACAUCAGCAAUGGCAAAUAUGCAUUGCGAACUAUAUAUACAACAAUUUAAAUCUUACACUCGCUAAUUCUAGGGAAUGUUUUUGAACAUGUAUAAACAAACGAGUAUUUAUCAAUAGCAUGCUUGAGCCGCUAAACCAUUAUCCAACAAUGCCCUUUGUACUUUAGUAUACAGAUAUAGUUAGGAGCACAUAACUGAAGCACACAACUUCUCUUAUUCAACCUCAAGAGCAGAUUGAUGAAUCCAUCGCAACCAACGACAAGCAAUCAAUGCACUCAAUAUCUGGAUUCAUUCGUUUUCAUCAUUUAUCUAACAAAUAGUGAGUUUGGUCGUGUAUGGAGGAUACAUGUCCAAAGAUAUAAUAGAGAAAGUAGCCAAGUGUAGGGGAUGGAUAUUUUCAGCCCGCUCACUUAAACUGAACUGAGACUCAUGGAAAGGACAUGAGAGAGAAAACUAAAAUAUAUUAUUAUCUAAAUUUGAAUCUGAUAUAAAAUACGUGUUUCUAUAUGUCCAUAUAUCUCGUAUUAUUAAACAUAUAACAAAAUCUUAUAAGUCCACUUAUGUUGUUGGUUCUAAGCAAUAAUUUUGAAAGUUAAGUGAUGAGAUGAAUUUAAAGUUGAUCUUUGGACAACCAUCGUUUUUAUUUUGCUAGCACACACUUUAAUGACAUGGUAUCAAACAUACUUUCUCCUUCAGCUAUCUGUUGCGUAACAUCGAUUAGGAAUCAAUAAGUAAAUAACAAAUGACAAUAGUUAGUUUUCACUAUAUUUAUUGUUUAUUAUGUGUUAGGUACAACCUUGUAAUUUUACCAACAUAAAAAAUAUAGAACCUCUUAUUGUCAAAUACAAAUAAGUUUAACAUUAAUUAUUUUUUUGAUUAUAUAAUAGACGCACAAACACAUUACUGCACAUGCAAUACCACACUCACGUAUAUGCUCAAAGAAACAGAAACUAAUGACAUAUAUAUGAUUGUAAUGAAUUAUAUUGAAACCCACUUGCAUGAGUGUAAUAUUUAUGUGCACUGGAAUUGAACCCUCAUUGGCGGAGUCAUGCAACCAUUACUCACCACUUGUUUUUAUAUAAUUUCAAUUUAAAGUAAGCAUGUAUUAUCAUUCUAAUUUAAUACUAGGUUUUAUUCCGAGUGUUGGUACAUGAUCAUCUUGUCACUAUUUGGUUAAUCACUCCAUCGAUAGGUUGAAAUAUUCAUUCUCGAAGCUUAUGCUCCUCAAGCAUGUUUAAAUGUUUAUGCUCUUCGAGCAUGUUGAAGUGUUUAUGUUCCACGGGCAUAUUGAAUUGGUUAUGCUGAUCGAGCAUGUUGUGUUAUUUAUGCUCUAUGAGCAUAUUGAUUUAUUUACGCUUACUAGCCGUACUAUGCAGGAGUAAGUGAGUACUCACAAUGUUGCUCUAGAAGGAAUAGGGCGAAGCUUGUCGGCUACGUUUCUAUAAAUUAUUUCCCCAAGAUACCUAGGGACCAACACUCAAGUACUGGCAAUAGCUCAUAUUGUGGUCCCAAGACGUUAUUUAGAUUAAUGUAAUAUCCAUGUGCACUCUAAUAUGUUCAAGGGGCACUUUUGUAACUUCCCAGUGAAUCCAAGGCCUAUAAAAGCUCG
rnacentral:lncRNA from 1 species